rnacentral:rRNA from 1 species
CGAACGCUGGCGGCAGGCUUAACACAUGCGAGUCGAACGCCCGGGCAACCGGGAGUGGCAGACGGGUGAGUAACGCGUGGGAACGUACCCUUUGGUUUGGAAUAACCCAGGGAAACUUGGGCUAAUACCGGAUAAGCCCCGAGAGGGGGAAAGAUUUAUCGCCGAAGGAUCGGCCCGCGUCCGAUUAGCUAGUUGGUGUGGUAAUGGCGCACCAAGGCGACGAUCGGUAGCUGGUCUGAGAGGAUGAUCAGCCACACUGGGACUGAGACACGGCCCAGACUCCUACGGGAGGCAGCAGUGGGGAAUAUUGGACAAUGGGGGCAACCCUGAUCCAGCCAUGCCGCGUGAGUGAUGAAGGCCUUAGGGUUGUAAAGCUCUUUCGGCGGGGACGAUAAUGACGGUACCCGCAGAAGAAGCCCCGGCUAACUUCGUGCCAGCAGCCGCUGUAAUCUGAUGGCGCGAGG